rfam:Triticum aestivum genome assembly, contig: Triticum_aestivum_CS42_TGACv1_scaffold_486288_6AS
AUACUACUCCCUCCGUCCUAAAAUUCUUAUCUUAUAUUUUUUUAGAUACGGAUGUAUCAAAUCACGUUUUAGUAUUGGAUACAUCCGUAUCUAAACAAAUCUAAGACAAGAAUUUUGGGACGGAGGAAGUACUUC